rnacentral:lncRNA from 1 species
GCAUGUAUAGGGACUUUGGUCAUGUUGGUUAUCUUUUGGUUAUGAUUUUGACCAUUUGAAUUGGGUUGUAAAUGUCUAAGGUUUGGUUUGUAUAUUUGGCCAUGUGAGUUGGCUUAUUUUGGUUGAUGUUGGUUAUGUUAUAUGUAUACAAAUGACUUAUGUUGUGUGAUUAAGGUUGGAAUCAUGGUGCUUAUUGAUAAUAGGUGAUUUGAAUGUCAAUUGGUUGAUAAUUGGGAAGU